rnacentral:misc_RNA from 1 species
CGGCAGGAAAACUAAAUUAUAUUUCAACCCCAUCAAAUUCUAUGGAGUCCACGAAAUAAAAAAAAAAAAAAAAUCCUAUGGUUAAUCAGUAAUAAUCACAAACAAACCAAAAGAUUCCAGCACUCAAAACAUGCACAAUAGCGGAUCACAUAUAGAUUACACGCUGAGAUCAGAUUUUGAGGAAAUUCAAACUAAAUACUGUUGAGCUUUAGCUUCAAUGAGCAGAGUGAGUAGUGGUAGUCGUCUUCUUAAAAUCGAUCUUGUCAACUUUAACCUCUCCAUCAAUGAGUUCGUACACAUACACUACGACCCGCAAGCCAUCAAUGUCCAUGAGCACAAAGCUAGGAUUUACAUCAUAGGUAAUGCUGCUGUAGGCACCUGUGGCAGACCCUGGGUUUAUAACGACUCCUCCUUCAUGUUUGUAAGCUGUGAACUGAUGUGUAUGACCCGUCACAAGUAUGUCUACAUCCAGUUGUCUCUGGAGCAUUGCUAGUGAGUCUAAGUUCCCCCAUGGAAUAACCUGAUGACCAUGGCAAAGCCCCAACUUGAAUUGACCAAUAGUAAGCGUUUUGGUUUCUGGAUAUCGCAUUUCUUCAUCAUAUUCACCUCGAGUAAUAUGCAAGUCAGGACAAAGAGUCUUCAAAUAGUCGUGAACUUCUUUGAUACAAAGAUUGCCAGUGCAAAUGAUGUGUUGGAUCUUGCCAGGAACAAGCAUUGACUUAAACUUGGCAGGCAGAUCGGCUGCUCUAUGGGGUAUGUGUAAAUCCCCUAAAGCUAACACCAAAACCAUUUCCUAAGCCUCCAAAAAGCAAAUCCCACUUACAAUCUGAUGGAUUUGAUUAGUUUUGCAUAAACCGACGCUAUUAAAGCUCAGAAACAAUCAAACAAAGAGGACGUUAAUGAAUUUUUAGGUCCCUUGCCUCUGCGUUUGAGAGCGUUUCUGUCAAUGAGAACCGAGAAAGUUUGAUUGGUAGCUG